rnacentral:rRNA from 1 species
UACGUAGGGUGCGAGCGUUGUCCGGAAUUAUUGGGCGUAAAGAGCUUGUAGGCGGUCUGUCGCGUCUGCUGUGAAAAUCCGGGGCUCAACCCCGGACUUGCAGUGGGUACGGGCAGACUAGAGUGUGGUAGGGGAGACUGGAAUUCCUGGUGUAGCGGUGAAAUGCGCAGAUAUCUGGAGGAACACCGAUGGCGAAGGCAGGUCUCUGGGCCACUACUGACGCUGAGAAGCGAAAGCAUGGGGAGCGAACAGG